AUGGUGGCCGAUGGCCUGGCUUUUGUCCUCCGUGUGGGUUCCUCCGGUUGUUUGGGUCCUGACAGCGCGUGCCUCUGCGCUCGGAGGAGGUCUCCACGCAACACCAUGGCUGUCUCGCCUUUUACCUCUGUACCCAUGUCGUCUGAGUUAUUUCCCUCUACUGUGAUAAAUCCAUUGGGAUACUCUGAUAAAAAAAAGGUCCAUACAAAACGGACACUAAUAAAACAAGAAAACCAAGGGGAAAAACAAGGCAGCAGGAGAACAUAAAGCAGCAGGAUAUGACCAAAGCCCUCGACCGUCGCACACCCGCACGAGCUACUCUGCCAUCCCGGUGCUUCGAUAGUGCUCACACCGCACCCCAGCAGACCCCGGAAUGCCAACCGAGCAGAGCUUUGGACGCCAUGUGAUGGUGCGCUAUGAAGCCCUCAACCACCCGCGACACUGACAGAAGACGUAAACACACCCUGGGCGCUCCCCAGCCCAGCGGACCCAAGGCGGAAGUACGGAGAAUAGCAGAGGACGAGUGAAGAAAGGGAGAGGCUUUUAUAUGAUUUUAAGGGGUCGAGCGCCAUCUGCUGAUGUUCCGAUGCUAUAUACUAAUAAUGAAUAAUAAAGAUCUACUAGCUUAUAUUUACAAUAACAUUGGUAAUGCCACACAUAUA
rnacentral:lncRNA from 1 species